CAGCAGCAUGCCCUUGGUGUAGUCAUUGCCGAAAGGGGUCUGUUCCUUCUUGAGCCUGCCUGCAGGGAUGGUCUCCUCUUUUAAAGCAGGUUGUGUACAACAUUCAGUACACUGAAGGCAUAAACCUUCCACUCUUGAACAAAGCAGCUGCUUUUUAAAAGCGGUAAUUGCUUCUUUACCUUUAUUUCUUUUGUAAAUGAAGCUUUUCUUUAAGAAUGUGACUUUAAAGUGUUGUCUAUUGCAUAAAACAGUUGACACUCACUUAUUGUAAAGUGAAGAUUGUUCUACUGCAUGUGAAGUGGCCAUGCAGAUUUCUGUAUGUUCUCAGUAUGCAUCACUAGAUAAUAAAGUCUUUUGUGAACAAGGAAAAAAAAAAAA